AUAAUUCAUUGGUUACUUUUUGUUUUGUUUUGUUUUCCUUUUCCUUUUCUUCUUCAUUUGCUCCUCUCUCCCGAUACGAACGAAGAAAAAAAUAUUAGCAUAAACUGAUUUAUCAAAAUCAAGGAUCAUGGAGUUGGGGUUUUCUGGGAAGUGAAGGAUGAUCCAGAAAAGAACUUUCAAAGGAUUGAUUUGAACAAAUCAUGUGGCUUUCUUUCUUGAGACCUAGAGAUCGAUUCUCCUUUAGCAGAACACAGGUUAUAUUGGUCUUGUUCACAGCCUAUGGCUCGGCUGCCAUGGGGCAGCUUUUCCUCUUCCAUGUAGUUCCCAUAAGAAAGCUAACUCUUACAGUCUCCUAGCUAGUAUUUAUCACCAGAAGUAGUUUGGUUUGACAAGUAAUGCUCAAAUAUCUGAAGGGGAUAAGAACAUAUGACUAUAUAUUAGCGAUGAGGGAGGAGAAUCAAUUUGCAGAAGUGGACCCUUUUGAUGAAUGAGAUUCAUCUUCAGAUGAAAGCUCAGAUUUUGAUUCACCUGAAAGACCAAGACACACGUUUAUCUCCAAAUUCAUGUUCAAGAAAGCAAGUGAGGUGGUUGUCUAAAAGCUUUUGUUGUUUUCCUUCUCUUGUUAUGGCUUUGAAGGAUUCUCAAAGAUUCUGUUUUAGAUAAUCUGUUUGUGAAUAAUUGCAAUCUCAAUGCACAUGAAAAUCAGAGACAUCCAUGUUUAAGGAUGACUAAUGGGAGAAAAAAUAAAAACAAUGGAUUGAGAAUCUAAAGUUAGAUUAAUAUUA